rnacentral:lncRNA from 1 species
AUGAAGUCUCGGCAGAAAGGAAAGAAGAAGGGCAGCUCAAAGGAGCGGGUGUUUGGGUGUGACUUGCAGGAGCACCUGCAGCACUCAGGCCAGGAGGUGCCCCAGGUGCUAAGGAGCUGUGCAGAGUUUGUGGAGGAGUAUGGCGUGGUGGACGGGAUCUACCGCCUCUCAGGGGUCUCUUCCAACAUCCAGAAGCUCCGGCAGGAAUUUGAGGCUGAACGGAAGCCAGACCUGCGGCGAGAUGUUUACCUUCAGGACAUUCACUGUGUCUCCUCCCUCUGCAAGGCCUACUUCAGGGAGCUGCCAGACCCCCUGCUCACUUACCGGCUCUAUGACAAGUUUGCUGAGGCUGUGGCAGUACAACUGGAACCUGAGCGCUUGGUCAAGAUCCUAGAGGUGCUUCAAGAACUUCCGGUCCCCAACUACAGGACCCUGGAGUUCCUCAUGAGGCACUUGGUGCACAUGGCCUCAUUCAGCGCCCAGACCAACAUGCACGCGCGCAACCUGGCCAUCGUGUGGGCCCCUAACCUGCUGAGGUCUAAGGACAUAGAGGCCUCAGGCUUCAAUGGGACGGCAGCUUUCAUGGAGGUGCGUGUGCAGUCCAUCGUCGUCGAGUUCAUCCUCACGCAUGUGGACCAGCUUUUUGGGGGUGCUGCACUCUCUGGUAGUGAAGUGGAAAGUGGAUGGCGAUCACUUGCAGGGGCCCGGGUGUCAGGCAGCCCUGAGGACCUUAUGCCACGGUCCCUGCCCUACAAUCUGCCUAGCAUCCUGCAGGCUGGUGACGGCCCCCCCCAGAUGCGGCCCUACCACACCAUCAUAGAGAUUGCAGAGCACAAGAGGAAGGGGUCUCUGAAGGUCAGGAAGUGGAGAUCCAUCUUCAACCUGGGUCGCUCUGGCCAUGAGACCAAACGCAAACUUCCACGGGGGGCUGAGGACAGGGAACCAGAGGGGCUGCUAGGAUCCAACAGUCCUCGGCCAGGCCCACUGCUGACGGAAAGCCUGGAGAAUGAGUCCGUGGAAGCGGCAGAGUGUGAGCAGGAGCCCGACCCAGAGGCGCUGGGUGGCACGAGCUCCGAGCCAGGCACACCACGACCUGGGCGGUCAGCAGUCCGUGCUGGGGGCAGCAGCCAUGCAGAGCGCCGUGCUGGCGUUCAUAUCUCAGAGCCCUACGAUGUCAACCUCCCAGCACACAUCAGCAACAUGCUCAACAUAUCCUCAAACAUCUUGGCGGGGCUUGCCCGUGGUCUUGAACGCCCUGCCCCACAGCCUCGGCCAAGCCCUGCCUCUGGCCCCGGUCCUGGCCCCGGCCUUGGCCCUGGCCCCCCAGAUGAGAAGUUGGAGGCAAGUCCAGCCCCAGGUCCCUCGGCUGACUCGUGCCCAGUGGACGUGGCCCCUGCCUUGGAGGACUGCCUGUCCCAGGAGGUGCAGGAUUCCUUCUCCUUCCUAGAGGACUCAAGCAGCUCAGAACCUGAGUGGGUGGGGGUGGAGGACGGGGAGGUGGCCAAGGCAGGACCAGCAGGAGCAGCCUUCUCCCCUGGGGAGGAAGACCCUGGGAUGGGCUACCUGGAGGAGCUCCUGGGAGUUGGGCCUCAGGUGGAGGAGUUCUCUGUGGAGCCGCCCCUGGAUGACCUGUCCCUGGAUGAGGCACAGUUUGUCCUGGCUCCCAGCUGCUGUUCCCUGGACUCUCCUGGCCCCAGGCCUGAAACAGAGGAGGAAAGCGGGGAGGAAGUCUUCCUGAGUGCCUAUGAUGACCUUAGUCCCCUUCUGGAGCCCAAACUCCCAAGCUGGGAGGGUCCAGGCAGUGAAGAGGAAAAGGUGGCAGGGUCUGGAAGACAGGAGGCUUCAGGACAGGAUGAGGGCGAGCAAGCCUCGUGUGAAGGUGGAGAGGACCAGGGGGAGCCUGGAAGCAGACGGGACACCGACGAGGAGGCUGAGGGGAGGCCAGAGAGUGGCGUGGAGGGCAGAGAGGCCACUGAGGAAGGAGCAGAGGCUGAGGGGAGCCAGAAGGUGACUGACAGUUUGAAAGAAGGAUGUGGGGAAGAGACAGAGGAGACAGAGGCCACGGGAGAGGAGUCCAAAGGUCAGCAGGAGGGUGAGAGAACGGAGGAAGCUAAGGGUGUGGGAGAAACUGGAGGAGAGCAGGCUGAAGACAAGGGGAAGGAAGGAAAGACGGAGAGACAGGAAGGUGCUGAGGAAGGAGACGAAGCCCGGGGAGCAGCUGGAAAGCACUCAGAGCAUGAGGCCCAGGAAAACCGAAUUGCUGAAGAGAGCUGGGAAGUUGUACACAGACAAGAGGCUGAAGGAGGCAGAGAAGAUGAGGUCAAAGGACAAAGGGGAGAUGAGGGUCAAGAGGCAGGAGAAGACCAAGGAGAUGGUGAAGAUAGCAGGAUCCCAGAAGCAGCAGCUGAAGGAGGAGCAGGGGAGGUCAGCAAGGAACGGGAGUGUGGACACGGAGAAGCUGAGGGAGACCAGAGAGCUGGAGGUGAACGUGGAGAAGAGGGUUCCCUCCCUGAAGGGCCACAGGUCGAGGCCCUGGAGGUUGACAGUGCCAAAGAGGGCAACUCCCAGUCCUCUGAGACAGAACAGGCAGCCCCACAGCCACCUCGGCCAGAGGAGAUGGAUCCUGAGGGGCAGCCCAAUCCCCUUGGCUCAGCUGGUGGUGUGGGCAUGCGCCUGGCUUCCACCCUUGUUCAGGUCCAACAGGUCCGCUCUGUGCCCGUGGUGCCCCCCAAACCACAGUUUGCCAAGAUGCCCAGUGCAAUGUGUGGCAAGAUCCACGUGGCACCAGCAAACCCAUGCCCAAAACCUGGCCGGCUCGAUGGGGACAGGCCCUGGGGCUCCCGAGCCUCCCGCUCCUCUUGGAGGAAUGGGGGUAGUCUUUCCUUUGAUGCUGCUGUGGCCCUGGCCCGGGACCGCCAGAGGACUGAAGCUCAGGCAGUUCGGCGGACCCAGACUUGUACUGGUGCUGGGGACUACAGUCUCAUCCCCAAAACCUCCCCCUAUAGCUUGAUCCCUGCCUACACUCCCCGGCCCCUUAGCUGCCUGGAGAUCCCAGCUGAGGGCACAGAUGGGUCUGGACCCCGGAGUCGGUUUAGCCUGCCCCCCAGAGAACCCCAACCUCCUGAACCCCUUAUGUCCCCCCAGCGACGAUCGUAUGCAUUCGAAACACAGGCUAACUCUGGGAAAGGUGAGGGACUGUAAUUAGGACAAGAGCACUGGGCAUAAGGGACAGUAGCUGCCUCCAGGGUCUUGGACUGUUUCAUCUGCAGCCUGAGCAGCUGUAGUGCCCAACUCUAUAGGUUUUGGCCCUCCAGCUUCUCUUUUUGACUGUGGGAAGCACUGUCUUGGUCUGUUUACCUGAGCUUGUCUCAGACACAAAGCACUUAUCCCUUAGGAGAUUCUUGAGAAAGUCACCAAGAUCCUGUCCCUGGAGAGAGAGGUCACUGGCCAAAGGGAACAAAGAGUAGGUGGAAAACUUAACUGUUUCUCAAAGUGAAGAAUGAAGGGGGAACUCCAGCUGAGGUCCUGCCUUCCUCUGAGGCAAUGAACUCUUCAUGGAAGUCCAGAGUAGAAGCGGGGUCAGGGCCAGAUUGGAGCCUAUUACACACAAACACUUUUAGAGGUUACCUAUCCUUGUUCUACUCUUGGUCCCUUGGAUACCUCCUGCUCCUAUUAACUCCAGAUUAGGAGAAAAACGUCCAGGAAACUCUUUGAAUACACAGUAUUUGUUGGUGGGACUAGUUCCUUUCCUAGCUCCCCAACCCUCUGCCUCCCUGGAUCUCUAGGAACCGAGGUCUUAUAUAGAUCUCUCUGGCCUCUUUCUCCUUUGGAAUAACUUCCUAUUUUAGGGAAGAGGGAUGGUGUCACUCAGGCUCUGGGAUUGCUUCUCUGGACAGGUUGGGGCCACAGGUCCCAAGGGGCAAUAUCUCAGAAUAAAUGCUGUAUUUUUACAGAUAAAUAGUGUGAU